rnacentral:rRNA from 1 species
GAGUUUGAUCAUGGCUCAGGAUGAACGCUGGCGGCGUGCCUAAUACAGCAAGUCGAGCGGUAAGGCCCUUCGGGGUACACGAGCGGCGGACGGCUGAGUAACGCGUAGGAACGUACCCCAAAGUGAGGGAUAAGCACCAGAAAUGGUGUCUAAUACCGCAUGUGGUCUUCGGAUUAAAGCCUUCGGGCGCUUUGGGAGCGGCCUGCGUAUGAUUAGCUUGUUGGUGAGGUAAUGGCUCACCAAGGCGACGAUCAUUAGCUGGUCUGAGAGGAUGAUCAGCCAGACUGGGACUGAGACACGGCCCAGACUCCUACGGGAGGCAGCAGUAGGGAAUUUUUCACAAUGGGCGAAAGCCUGAUGGAGCAACGCCGCGUGCAGGAUGAAGGCUCUCGGGUCGUAAACUGCUUUUAUUAGUGACGAUUAUGACGGUAGCUAAUGAAUAAGCCACGGCUAACUACGUGCCAGCAGCCGCGGUAAUAC